ensembl:lncRNA FAM27C family with sequence similarity 27 member C
AGAGCAGGAGCCCUCGGUGGCAGUGCUUGGGUGUCGAGGCUCUGAGGCUCCGGCCUCACCUCUCCACGGGGUCGAAGGGAACGUCUCCGGAUGCCAGGAGUCGCAAAGGGCCGACCAUGAUGAUGAAACCCCAGGCAGAGACGGGGGAAGCAGCACGGGAUCCCAGCCUCAGGCCUGCACGGACGGUGUUGGUUGGGAGACGAGGUCUCACUAUAUUGACCAGGCUGGUCUUGAACUCCUGGCCUUAAGCGAUCCUCCUGCCUUGGCCUCCCAAAGUGCUGGAGUUACAGAUGUGAGCCUCUGUGCUCAGUCCAUCCUUGGCUGUUCAAGUGUAGAGGGAGGCCUCACAAAACCCGGAUCAGACUCGCCCACUGCCCUGUGUCUGCCCUCCCGACCGCCUCUCCUGCCCAGCAGGGAUGAGGGUGGCAGUGGUGCUGUGUGGAGGGUGGCGGGAGGACCUGGAAGACUGCGACCAGUGAGCCGGGAGGCCUUGGGACAGCCUCUCUCUGAAUCAUCCUGUGCACUGCCGGGUGUGACAGAGGCUCCUAGAAUCCUGUCUCAAGUGGCCGCCUUCACAGAGGGAGUCACUGACGUCCCUGCUCAGCGCAGCCCUGGCAUGUGGGGGUCCCUCUACUCAUGAGAAACCCCCACCCAAUCACCGUGAGGUGUGUGACCCAUGCUCACAUCCAGGGGCCACUCAUUCAUUCAGGAAACAUUGGCCGAGCCCUCAGCAGGGGGCGGUGCUGGAUGCCGGGAUGUAGAGAGUGGGGUGGGACAAGGACUUGGUUGUGAGACGUCCCAGUCCGGGGAAGGACUAAGAGAAGGUGACAUGGACAGUCUAGACUACCCGUCAUUGGUUCUCCACUGGGGGCAGUAUUGGCAAUGUUUAGGUAUAAAUUUGUUGUCACAAUGAAUGCUACCAACGUCUAGUGGGUGGAGGCCGGGGGUGCGGCUCAGCAUCCUACCAGGUGUCGGACGGCCCCCACCACCGAGUGCCAGCCCCGAGGGCAGCCCAGGGUGCCCCAGUGGUGAGGAGCCCCGGUGUGGAGUGCAGGGUUCGUUUGGACCACGGCUGUAGAGGCCUAGGGGAGCUCCCGCCAUCAGGAUGGCCGGGCAUCAGGGCUCUGUGAGGGGGAAGGGGGCAUCAGUGCAGCGGCAGGCAGGGGUUCGACGGGCUGAGUCCUGCGACGUGUUGCAUCCACACCAGUGUCUGGGGCCAGCACCACCGCUCAGUCUCUGAACCCACUUAUUUCGCCCAAUAUUGCUUGAGUGGGAAGUUCCACCUUCCCCAGUCGGCUGCUUAUCUCGUCUUUCCAAUGCAGUUAGGAAGGGAAAAUAUUUUCUCCCCAUUUUACAGAUGAAGAAAUGGGGCCUGGCGAGGAGCAAAGCCCAGAACUGCUGCCCACCACCCUCCCUGCCUGGUGCUUUCCUGGGAACAUGUGGGAGCCCCUGCCUGGACCUUGGGACCUCCCAUCUGUAAUUGCAGGCCCUGGUCUGCCUGUAUGGAUGUGGAAUGUGUCACUCGGGAUCCUGGAGUCCUCCUGAGCUUGUCCAGCAGGGCUGCAUUCACUGAUGUGCUGACAGAGGCCUAGGCUCGGACCUCUAGGAAUAUCCAAGGCAUCUCAUUAUGCAGAAAACCACCCUCAUGAGGUCCUGGAGGCCUCUCUCCAUCUUCCUGGGGGUGAUGCAAUAGAGUGUAACUUCCAUGCUGCCGAGACAGGCCAUGAGGGGUUGCCCCCGUUGGAGGGGCAGAGUGGUAUUUGUGGGGUGGUAGGAAUCAUUCAAUGCCCAGCUGCAACCCCCCGGGCUCACAGCACACUCUUAAGGCCAGUGCUACCAGCUCCCUUGGGUGGAUAGAGGAGCUACGGCUCAGAAGCAUGCCCACAGCUCCCCCAGGACCCUGAGGCCAGCCUGUGGCAGGGCCUGUGAUUUGAACCCCUCUACAAGGCUUCAAAUCAGUGCUGUUUGUCCUGGCCUCAUAAAACCUGGCUGCCCAGUUGGGAUUGGUGUCAUCUGCCUUGCUGAACUGGGCACUCCUUGGGAAGAGGGUGGGUGCUGCGAGAAGGCGGUGGAUCCUGGCUGUGCAACCUUCGCAGGUGGCUGAACCUCUCUG